AAAUUACCCUCAUCUAAUAGGAA
rnacentral:snRNA from 1 species